rnacentral:misc_RNA from 1 species
GGCGGGAGUGCUGGAAGUACAAAAGAGACCGGGAGGACGGCCAUUGGGCCCCCCUCCGAGAGGUCCUCCUCCUCUUCAGCCAGUUGAUCGUGAAAAGACUUGUCCCUUAUUGCUUCGCGUUUUCACGAAGAUAGGGAAUCAUCAUUCCAAGGAAGACUUUGCAGUGAGAGGCAAGGAGCCCAAGGAUGAGGUUCAAAUCUAUACAUGGAAGGAUGCUACGCCACACUUCGGGAGUUAACUGAUCUGGUCAAAGAGGUGGCUCCAGCAGCAAGGAGAAGAGAUGCAAGAUUGUCCUUUGCUUUUGUAUAUCCUGACAAAAAUGGCCGCUUUGUGGUGCGAGAGGUUGGAAAGACCUACUCUAACAGAAAUGGGAAAUUAGAUGAUGGCAAAGCAUUGGCUGAGCUUGGCUGGGCUUCCAGAUUGGAGAUUACUUGGAUGUUGCAAUUCUAUAGUGAAGUUAUUUAUUUUUUGCAGUUUUUAAUGUGUUUUAGGGCGGUGCACCAUUAGGAUGAUUUGGGAUAUCAGUUUAUGCCUGAGAAGGAAGGGACUAUUGCUAAGAUGGUACCAGUGUUCUAUUUGCCAAAGUAGUUAGAAAAUUAAAAAGGAAUGAGUGUCGGCGAAUCAUUAUAAGUAAACAGGUAGUGGUAUUUUCCAUUACAUCAGAACACUCAUCCAUGUAUUUUGACAUGAAGCUUGAGCUUUGUUUGGAGUUUGUAAAGCUAUUGAUGCUAGUUGUGACCUUAUAACCUAAGGAUCCAAACUCAUCCUAUAGGUUC